rnacentral:rRNA from 1 species
UACGAACUGUGCGAAUGUUAUUCGGAAUCACUGGGCUUAAAGGGUGCGUAGGCGGCGCUCCAAGUCAGGUGUGAAAUCCCCCGGCUCAACCGGGGAACAGCGCUUGAAACUAGAGUGCUCGAGCGAGGCAGGGGUGUGUGGAACUUCCGGUGGAGCGGUGAAAUGUGUAGAGAUCGGAAGGAACGCCGGCGGCGAAAGCGGCACACUGGGUCUUGACUGACGCUGAGGCACGAAAGCCAGGGGAGUGAACGGG